GUCAUAAUUCUUACCUUAUUUUGAAGCGCCUCUAGAUUUCUUGUCAUCUUCAUCUUCAAAUUUCUCAAUCUUGACCGGAGCAAUUCACCACUCCAAAGUUGGUGCACCUCUUUCAAACUCACUUGCUUUAUCAUAUUUCUUGUUACCAGAUGAUAGAAUUGAUGUAGAGGAACAUUAGCCCCAAGUUCUAAGGUUGAAACCAAUUGUAAUUCAUGUUUAAUUGGGGACCUAGAAUUUAGGGUUCAUAUGAGUUGAUUCUCUGAUUGGAAGUGUUAAGAAGGAAUUAAUAGAGGUUAACGUGAGAACGAAAGAAAGGGAACAAGGAUGAUUCCAUUGAUGCGAGGUUGAGGUCUAUUGAUAUGAGUUGAUUCUCUGAUUGGAAGUGUUAAGAAGGAAUUAAUAGAGGUUAACGUGAGAACGAAAGAAAGGGAACAAGGAUGAUUCCAUUGAUGCGAGGUUGAGGUCUAUUGAAGCUCAGCCGCCACUAGAGGCGAUUUCCAAUGCGGUGGAGGGAAGACUGGAAAUCAUUUUUUAGUUGGAAUAAGGGGAUGUGGAAGUGAGUAUGAGUUAGCCUUGACACUCUGAUUGUUAUCCUUUUGUUGAGCUCGGUUGGGCCUUAAGCCCAAAUUCCUACUAUUUGCACCACCAUUUUUCUUGAACACCCCUUUGCAUAUUGGAAGUAAAAUGACUUUGGGUUUUUAGCAGGCCUAACACCAGUCUGCUUACCCCACACCUCCAUUCCAGCGUCUGUACCCCUGCAUUUGUUUUGUAUUUUUCUAUCUUUAUUAUUUCUCGUGAUCUUAGUUGUUUCUCAAUAGUUUUUUUUUCUUUUAAUUCAUUUUAUUUUUUAUGUAAAAAAGAUUUUGACAUGUUAGCAUACAUUUUAAUCAAUAAUAAUAAUGCACAAUUUAAUUGGAGUUAAUCACUUAGUUUUUGGUUAAUUCUCAAUUUAAAAUGUUAAGAAAUAAUGCCCAUGCUCGUGAUGCUUUAGAUUAG
rnacentral:lncRNA from 1 species